rnacentral:rRNA from 1 species
GACGAACGCUGGCGGCGUGCUUAACACAUGCAAGUCGAACGGUGAAGCGCCUUCCUUUUUGGUGGGUGUGGAUGAGUGGCGAACGGGUGAGUAACACGUGAGUAACCUGCCCCCUUCUUCUGGAUAACCGCAUGAAAGUGUGGCUAAUACGGGAUAUUCUGGGUCUGUCGCAUGAUGGGUCUGGGAAAGAUAUUGUUUCGGUGGGGGAUGGGCUCGCGGCCUAUCAGCUUGUUGGUGGGGUGAUGGCCUACCAAGGCGGUGACGGGUAGCCGGCCUGAGAGGGUGGACGGUCACACUGGGACUGAGACACGGCCCAGACUCCUACGGGAGGCAGCAGUGGGGAAUAUGGCACAAUGGGCGCAAGCCUGAUGCAGCGACGCCGCGUGAGGGAUGGAGGCCUUCGGGUGGUGAACCUCUUUCGCCAGUGAAGCAGGCCUGCCUCGUUUGUGGGUGGGUUGACGGUAGCUGGAUAAGAAGCGCCGGCUAACUACGU